GCCGAAGUGGUGGAAUUGGCAGACACGCACGGUUGAGGGCCGUGUGGGGCAACCCAUGGGGGUUCGAAUCCCCCCUUCGGCACGA
rnacentral:tRNA from 1 species